GCAGAGGAUGCUUCGGGUUCGGCUCCGGUCUAAGUUCCUUGGAACAGGACGUCAUAGAGGGUGAGAAUCCCGUAUGUGACUGGCCGCCACGCCCGUGUGAAGCUCCUUCGACGAGUCGAGUUGUUUGGGAAUGCAGCUCAAAAUGGGUGGUAAAUUUCAUCUAAAGCUAAAUAUUGGCCAGAGACCGAUAGCGCACAAGUAGAGUGAUCGAAAGAUGAAAAGCACUUUGGAAAGAGAGUCAAACAGUACGUGAAAUUGUUGAAAGGGAAGCGCUUGCAACCAGACUUGCCCGCGGGUGAUCAGCCGGUAUUCUUACCGGUGCACUCGCCCGUGGUCAGGCCAGCAUCGGUUCGGGCGGCUGGAUAAAGUCCACUGGAAUGUAGCUCCUCUCGGGGAGUGUUAUAGCCAGAGGUGCCAUGCAGCCCGCCCGGACCGAGGACCGCGCUUCGGCUAGGAUGCUGGCGUAAUGGUUGUAAGCGACCCGUCUUGAAACACGGACCAAGGAGUCUAACAUCUAUGCGAGUGUUUGGGUGUCAAACCCAUGCGCGUAAUGAAAGUGAACGGAGGUGGGAACCCUCAAGGGUGCACCAUCGACCGAUCCUGAUGUCUUCGGAUGGAUUUGAGUAAGAGCAUAGCUGUUGGGACCCGAAAGAUGGUGAACUAUGCCUGAAUAGGGUGAAGCCAGAGGAAACUCUGGUGGAGCUCGCAGCGGUUCUGACGUGCAAAUCGAUCGUCAAAUUUGGGUAUA
rnacentral:rRNA from 1 species